GAUCCUAGCUCAGGACGAACGCUGGCGGCGCGCCUAACACAUGCAAGUCGAACGAGAGAUGAGGAGCUUGCUCUUCAAAUCGAGUGGCGAACGGGUGAGUAACGCGUGAGGAACCUGCCUCAAAGAGGGGGACAACAGUUGGAAACGACUGCUAAUACCGCAUAAGCCCACGGCUCGGCAUCGAGCAGGGGGAAAAGGAGUGAUCCGCUUUGAGAUGGCCUCGCGUCCGAUUAG
rnacentral:rRNA from 1 species